UGGGGAAUAUUGCACAAUGGGCGCAAGCCUGAUGCAGCCAUGCCGCGUGUGUGAAGAAGGCCUUCGGGUUGUAAAGCACUUUCAGCGGGGAGGAAGGCGGUGAGGUUAAUAACCUCAUCGAUUGACGUUACCCGCAGAAGAAGCACCGGCUAACUCCGUGCCAGCAGCCGCGGUAAUACGGAGGGUGCAAGCGUUAAUCGGAAUUACUGGGCGUAAAGCGCACGCAGGCGGUCUGUCAAGUCGGAUGUGAAAUCCCCGGGCUCAACCUGGGAACUGCAUUCGAAACUGGCAGGCUAGAGUCUUGUAGAGGGGGGUAGAAUUCCAGGUGUAGCGGUGAAAUGCGUAGAGAUCUGGAGGAAUACCGGUGGCGAAGGCGGCCCCCUGGACAAAGACUGACGCUCAGGUGCGAAAGCGUGGGGGGCAAACAGG
rnacentral:rRNA from 1 species